GUACAGCAAACACAACUUCAGUGCCUGAAAAUCCAACUGCUAUUUUUGCCUUGACCUUCAGCAUUAAUGAAACCUUCGAUUCAGCGCUGGCCAAUACUAGCUCUCAACAGUUUGCAGACAAAGCUAAAAAUAUCCGUAGUCAGGUUGAACCUUUGUACUUUAAAGCCUUUCGCAACUUCGUACGCAUGGGGAUUUUACGAUUCAGCAAGGGUUCGACUAUCGUAGACAGCAACGUCUACUUUAAUUCUAGUGGCCCAAAUUUUACUGCCUCUGACGUGAAAAACACUUUUAUUAAUGGACUGAGUAACUUAAAUUUUACUGUCAUUUCAAACUCCAUCGAUGUCUCGCAGACACUUGGUAAUUCCAUACCAACACUGAUCACCAGCUCAGUUUCCAUGAUCAGGAUCUCUCUUCUAUCACUUCUGCUUUCAUUAGUAUUGCAUUUCUAGCAAAUUUGUUUUUAUAAACUAAGAUAUCUUUAAAUAGGAAAUACUAAUAUUUUGAAUUGUUAAACUGUAAAUUAUGUCAGAAUUUGUCUGAAAAUCUCUCCACAUUCUGUUCUACAAUUUUGGUAUUUCAGCUAUACUUAUUGUUUUUUUUUUUUACCAAUGUGGAAUUAAUAGUAUAAAUUGAUGUUUAUCCAAAUUUAUCAGUUCAUCUUGGCUAUAAAUAGUCUACUAGGUGUGGCUUCUGUGCGUGUGGAAACCUGCACACACACACCAGCCCUUUUUAGGACAGAUUGAAAUCUUUGAUCUAGAAUUAAGAUUUACUUUCACUGCAACAAAGUUCCAGCCUGCAAAAAACAAUUUAAGGGGACACCAGUACCAGCCCUGACACCCCUGAUCUAUCCCCUUAAAUAGCUGUGUGUUUGCAUGGUUGGACUGGCAGGUACAUUUAUCGUAUGUAUAUUUUAUAUUUGAUGUAUAUUUUAUACCGACACAAAAAGAUAUUAAAUAUACAUCAGCUUCAAUGACCUUAUCUUUUUUUUAUUGUCUUGUAUAAUCUUUUGUUUAGUGACUUUAAUAUGUAACCCAUCUCGGGUAUAUGCGGAAAAUGUACAAGUCUAAGAGAUAUAACAGAAGAUGUGCAAUUAAAUUCUAUUGCAUUACAUUA